rnacentral:lncRNA from 1 species
AGUCUGGCGCACGGCUUCAGGGGAGAUUGGCAGCUGGGUCAAACAAAGUCCUUCCAUUGGCUCCCUUCCCAGGCAGCUUCUGCUAGUGUUUAGGUACUAGUGCAGUGUAGAACCCUUUUCUCAGGCAAAACCUAACAUCUGACCGCACCCUUUUUGCUAUUAAAAAAAAAAAAAAAAAAAAAAGCUUCUAUUUUUUUCCUCCUGUCGUUAAGAUAAAUUCUCCAGUAGACAACCUCUCCCACUAAUUGUGUAUUAGCAACGUAUUUUAUCUUGAGAGCUUGUACACUGGGCUCUCAACGUGGUGUGGAAGGUAGCCUGUUACAGUGCUGGAUUCAUAAAAGGGCCUUUAUGGUUUGUGAAAGAAUAUCUGUGUGCUUAGGGAGGAAACUUUUUGAUCUGCAGAAAAGCCAGAAGACAUCUAGGACAUCCAUAAAAAUUCAUCAGAGAGCAUUUUACUACUGAGCUGCAAAGAUGACAAGAGCACCUCAAAGGCAGCAGCCUCAAGGAGCAGCCAUGGCCCCAGACUUGUCGCACGGAUGCAGAAAACUUAAUGGAGGAGGCUGAGGUCAGAAUGGGAAGAGUUUUUAAAAAAUAAAAAGGGGAGCUAAUAUGUGAGGAACUGAUUGCUG